rnacentral:rRNA from 1 species
GAUGAACGCUGGCGGCGUGCCUAAUACAUGCAAGUCGAGCGAACGGACGAGAAGCUUGCUUCUCUGAUGUUAGCGGCGGACGGGUGAGUAACACGUGGAUAACCUACCUAUAAGACUGGGAUAACUUCGGGAAACCGUAGCUAAUACCGGAUAAUAUUUUGAACCGCAUGGUUCAAAAGUGAAAGACGGUCUUGCUGUCACUUAUAGAUGGAUCCGCGCUGCAUUAGCUAGUUGGUAAGGUAACCGCUUACCAAGGGAACGAUGCAUAGCCGACCUGAGAGGGUGAUCGGCCACAUGGGAACUGAAACACGGUCCAGACUACUACGGGAGGCAGCAGUAGGGAAUCUUCCGCAAUGGGCGAAAGCCUGACGGAGCAACGCCGCGUGAGUGAUGAAGGUCUUCGGAUCGUAAAACUCUGUUAUUAGGGAAGAACAUAUGUGUAAGUAACUGUGCACAUCUUGACGGUACCUAAUCAGAAAGCCACGGCUAACUACGUG